rnacentral:rRNA from 1 species
GAUGAACGCUGGCGGCGUGCCUAAUACAUGCAAGUCGAGCGGAAAGGCCCUUCGGGGUACUCGAGCGGCGGACGGGAGAGUAACGCGUAAGAAUGUACCCCAAAGUGAGGAAUAACUGCUCGAAAGAGUAGCUAAUGCCGCAUGUGCUCUUCGGAGGAAAGCUUUAUGCGCUUUGGGAACAGCUUGCGUCUGAUUAGCUAGUUGGUAAGGUAACAGCUUACCAAGGCGACGAUCAGUAGCUGGUCUGAGAGGAUGAUCAGCCACACUGGGACUGAGACACGGCCCAGACUCCUACGGGAGGCAGCAGUAGGGAAUUUUCCACAAUGGACGAGAGUCUGAUGGAGCAACGCCGCGUGCUGGAUGAAGGCCUUCGGGUCGUAAACAGCUUUUGUCUGUGACGAAUAUGACGGUAGCAGACGAAUAAGGAUCGGCUAACUACGUGCCAGCCGCCGCAGUAA